rnacentral:rRNA from 1 species
UACGGAGGGGGUUAGCGUUGUUCGGAAUUACUGGGCGUAAAGCGCGCGUAGGCGGGUUGUUAAGUUAGAGGUGAAAUCCCGGGGCUCAACCCCGGAACUGCCUUUAAUACUGGCAACCUAGAGUUCGAGAGAGGUGAGUGGAAUUCCGAGUGUAGAGGUGAAAUUCGUAGAUAUUCGGAGGAACACCAGUGGCGAAGGCGGCUCACUGGCUCGAUACUGACGCUGAGGUGCGAAAAGUGUGGGGGAGCAAAACAGGAUUAGAUACCCCCGUAGUCC